rnacentral:rRNA from 1 species
AACGGCUCACCAAGGCGACGACGGGUAGCCGGCCUGAGAGGGUGACCGGCCACACUGGAACUGAGAUACGGUCCAGACUCCUACGGGAGGCAGCAGUGGGGAAUAUUGGGCAAUGGGGGGAACCCUGACCCGGCGACGCCGCGUGAGGGAAGACGGCCUUCGGGUUGUAAACCUCUUUUGUACGGGAAGAAGGACGUGACGGUACCGUACGAAUAAGUCCCGGCUAACUACGUGCCAGCAGCUGCGGUAAUACGUAGGGGACGAGCGUUGUCCGGAAUUACUGGGCGUAAAGGGCGCGCAGGCGGUAUAUCAAGUCAGCUGUCAAAGACUGGGGCUCAACCCUGGUAUGCGGUUGAAACUGAUAUGCUGGAGUGCUGUAGAGGCAAGUGGAAUUCCCAGUGUAGCGGUGAAAUGCGUAGAUAUUGGGAAGAACACCGGUGGCGAAGGCGACUUGCUGGGCAGCAACUGACGCUGAGGCGCGAAAGCCAGGGGAGCAAACGGGAUUAGAUGCCCCGGUAGUCCUGGCCGUAAACGAUGAAUGCUAGGUGUGUGUGUGUAGAGAUACAUGCGUGCCGGAGUUAACGCGAUAAGCAUUCCGCCUGGGGAGUACGGUCGCAAGAUUGAAACUCAAAGGAAUUGACGGGGGCCCGCACAAGCGGUGGAGCACGGGUUUUAAUUCGAUGCAACCGAAGAACCUUACCUGGGUUUGACAUGUACGUGGUACGGAUAUGAAGGUUGAGGACCUUUUCUUCGGAAGGGGAGCGUACACAGGUGCUGUAUGGCAGUCGUCAGCUCGUGUCGUGA